rnacentral:rRNA from 1 species
AUUGAACGCUGGCGGAAUGCUUUACACUUGCAAGUCGAACGGCAGCACGGACUUCGGUCUGGUGGCGAGUGGCGAACGGGUGAGUAAUGUAUCGGAACGUGCCCAGUCGUGGGGGAUAACGUAGUGAAAAUUACGCUAAUACCGCAUACGAUCUAUGGAUGAAAGCGGGGGAUCGCAAGACCUUGCGCGAUUGGCGCGGCCGAUAUCAGAUUAGGUAGUUGGUGGGGUAAAGGCCCACCAAGCCAACGAUCUGUAGCUGGUCUGAGAGGACGACCAGCCACACUGGAACUGAGACACGGUCCAGACUCCUACGGGAGGCAGCAGUGGGGAAUUUUGGACAAUGGGCGAAAGCCUGAUCCAGCCAUUCCGCGUGCAGGAUGAAGGCCCUCGGGUUGUAAACCGCUUUUGUACAGAACGAAAAGGUUUCUACUAAUACUAGGAGCUCAUGACGGUACUGUAAGAAUAAGCACCGGCUAACUACGUGCCAGCAGCCGCAGUAA